UGGGCGUAAGAGCUCGUAGGCGGUUUGUCGCGUCUGCUGUGAAAGCCGGGGGCUCAACCCCGGGUCUGCAGUGGGUACGGGCAGACUAGAGUGCAGUAGGGGAGACUGGAAUUCCUGGUGUAGCGGUGAAAUGCGCAGAUAUCAGGAGGAACACCGAUGGCGAAGGCAGGUCUCUGGGCUGUUACUGACGCUGAGGAGCGAAAGCAUGGGGAGCGAACAGGAUUAGAUACCCUGGUAGUCCAUGCCGUAAACGUUGGGCACUAGGUGUGGGGGACAUUCCACGUUCUCCGCGCCGUAGCUAACGCAUUAAGUGCCCCGCCUGGGGAGUACGGCCGCAAGGCUAAAACUCAAAGGAAUUGACGGGGGCCCGCACAAGCGGCGGAGCAUGCGGAUUAAUUCGAUGCAACGCGAAGAACCUUACCAAGGCUUGACAUCCACCGGACCGCACUGGAGACAGUGCUUCCCUUCGGGGCUGGUGGACAGGUGGUGCAUGGUUGUCGUCAGCUCGUGUCGUGAGAUGUUGGGUUAAGUCCCGCAACGAGCGCAACCCU
rnacentral:rRNA from 2 species